AUUAUUUGUUUGUGAAAUUGUGUGCCUUCAUGGCAUUCCUCAUUCAUUUGUCAGUGACCAUGAUCCAAUUUUAUUAGCCAUUUGUGGUCUGAAAUAUUCCGUCUUAUGGGCACACAACUUAGGAUGAGUUGUAGUAUCAUCCUUAGAUAGACCGCCAAACAGAAGUUCUCAAUGAAGUUCUCAAUCAUAGUAUUGAACAAUAACUUCGCUGAGAACAACCCUAGACAUGGUACAGUUGGCUACAUUUGGUUGAAUAUUGGUAUAAUACCAGUUAUCGAAGGGCAGCAAAACAAACUCUAUUUCAACUGGUCUAUGGAAAGCCACCACCUACAAUUCUACGUUUCUUACCUGGAGAAACCAAGUGUUGACUCUGUCUCCCAUGCCUUGAUGGAUCGAGAUGAAAUCUUGAGACAAUUAAAAUUCAGUCUCCAAAAGGCUCAACUUCAUAUGGUCAAACAAGCUAAUGCAAAAGGAUGAGAUGUUUCUUUCCAAGUUGGGGAUAAAGUUUUCUUGAAGUUACGUCCUUAUCGACAACAUUCCUUAAAUUCUUGGGUAACACCCAAGUUGGCAGCUCAUUUUUAUGGUCCUUUUCUCAUUAUUACUAAAAUUAGGACUAUAGCUUUGAAAGAAUAUUGCAACAAAAGAAGCUUUAAGGUGCAAAGUAAGCAAUUUUAAAAUUUAUAACCCUAGGUUUCAUGCAACAUGCAUAAACACUUUAUAUUAUUGCAAAAAACAUAGUUUUGAUCAUAAUCAAUUGCUAACAAGCUUAAUUUGCCGAAAGAAAACAAAAACCCUAAAUUGUAACAAGUUAGGGUUCAGAAAAAUUCUUACCCUUAAGGCGCAGAAUCAAUAUUCUAUCACCAAAUCCGGAUAGUGAAGCCACCAAGUGUUGGUUCUCUAGCUUGUUUACACAAGCCCUUGAUCAAAUCGCCCUUGAUCGAAGCAAAACUUAUAGAUUUCCUCUCCAAAUGGUUCAGCCAAGAUGAGAUGGAAGGAAAGAGGAAAUUUUCUUGGUCAUAAGUAGAUGGAAGUAAACUCCGCCUAAGUAGUUUGCG
rnacentral:misc_RNA from 1 species